UUGGGCGUAAAGAGGGAGCAGGCGGCACUAAGGGUCUGUGGUGAAAGAUCGAAGCUUAACUUCGGUAAGCCAUGGAAACCGUAGAGCUAGAGUGUGUGAGAGGAUCGUGGAAUUCCAUGUGUAGCGGUGAAAUGCGUAGAUAUAUGGAGGAACACCAGUGGCGAAGGCGACGAUCUGGCGCAUAACUGACGCUCAGUCCCGAAAGCGUGGGGAGCAAAUAGGAUUAGAUACCCUAGUGGUCCACGCCGUAAACGAUGAGUACUAAGUGUUGGGUGUCAAAGCUCAGUGCUGCAGUUAACGCAAUAAGUACUCCGCCUGAGUAGUACGUUCGCAAGAAUGAAACUCAAAGGAAUUGACGGGGGCCCGCACAAGCGGUGGAGCAUGUGGUUUAAUUCGAAGCAACGCGAAGAACCUUACCAGGUCUUGACAUCGAUCUAAAGGCUCCAGAGAUGGAGAGAUAGCUAUAGAGAAGACAGGUGGUGCAUGGUU
rnacentral:rRNA from 1 species